GGGGGUGACUAGUGACAGAGAGAGGGAGGGGGUGACUAGUGACAGAGUGAGGGAGGGAAGGGGUGACUAGUGACAGAGUGAGGGAGGGAAGGGGUGACUAGUGACAGAGUGAGGGAGGUGGUGACUAGUGACAGUCACCACCUCCCUCACUCUGUCACUGUGUCACCCCCUCCCUCUGUCACUAGUCACCCACUCCCUCCCUCCCUCCCUCUGUCACUGGUCACCCACUCCCUCCCUCCCUCUGUCACCAGUCAUCCCCUCACUCUGUCACUAGUAACCCCUUCCUUCCCUCACUCUGCCACUAGUCACCCCCUCACUCUGUCACUAGUCACCCCCUCACUCUAGUGA
rnacentral:sRNA from 1 species